UCGGAUAUGGUGUAACGGCUAACAUUGCCGCCUCUCAUUACUUUGUAGAUCGCGGCAGCUCGGGGUUCGAUUCCCCGUAUCCGAA
rnacentral:tRNA from 1 species